rnacentral:lncRNA from 1 species
GUGGUUAUAAAUUUAAAGACAUAACAUAGACAUAUUUGUUACAUUCCAAGAAAACCGGCUGGAAUCCUGAGAAAUUACUAACAUGUUGUACCACGCUCUUGGGGUGGUGGGGGUCUCUUGUGGUUGUUGGUAAACAGCCGAGAGCGGCUUGGCAGUCACCUCUGCCAGCUCCCUCAGGAGUCUGUGGAGGGGCUUUUCCUGUCCCCCGUGCUGUGCACCGUCUUCCUGCACUGCUGGCUCCUGACAUUUUUCACGUGGUGCUGCAUGAGGAUCGUCAUAAGUCUCUCCAUUAGGGUUAUGUAGGCGUCCAUCUGGCAGAGCAGGUCGAGAGCAUUUACGUUGUCCGUUUCCUCUGUUCCUAAGGAAGCUGGGUCCGCUUGUCCCGCUCCCUGGAAGUGAGAGAGCAUGGGCACAGUGAAAGGGAGGCAGGCUUGUUUUGCAGAGUAUCACCCUGCAGGGCUCCGACUGGUGUGGAGCAUUUCCAGCCUCGCAGGACUGCUCAGGGCAGCCCGUGGGGCUCACACUGCCUGUGGCACACCCUGUGUUGCUCAGGGGUCUCCCACUGUGUGACAGCCCUGUGGCUGGGCAAGUGCCUGGGGAGAGGUAACGGAUCUCUGGGGUCUGCUUUCCUUGGAUGUGUUCAAGUAUAUGGCCUUUAUGGUUCCCUGCUCCCCAGCCACGGUACCCUCCCUGCCCGAUGUAUCUUGAUUGCUCACCUGUCCCCGAGGUCUUCUUAAUCUUCUCCAGUGGGCACGGGCAGUUGUCAGCAGCCAGAGAAUGGAGAAAAUUGUCAAGGGAGCUGUAAGGAGCCAGGUUCUCCCUCUUUGCAUAAGGUAGUCCCAAAGGUGGCCCAGGAUGCCAGGCAAGCUGUAGGCCUUCUGCUUGGUGCCUGGGGACUGCUGCUUUGGGCCUUGUGGAACAGCAACUUUGCUGCCCUUGUACCAGACCCAUAUGGGACACUGGGAAGAGCCAAGCAAGCAGGACCAGUAUGAGGUUUGGCUCUUGGUUUUCUCUGUAUGCUGCUCCUCAGGAAGGACCUGGUUUGUGUUCGUGUCCUUGGUCCUGAUGGGGCAGGAUGUCAGGCCAAACUAGCAGCGCCAGGUGGAGGUCUGGCUCUUGGUCUCCUCUGUACGCUGCUCCUCAGGAAGGGCCUGGUUGUCCUUCCUGUCCUCGAUCCUGGUGGGGAAGGAGGUUAGGCCAAACCAGGAGUGCCGUCUGGAGGUCUGGCUUAUGGUCUGCUACAUGGCCUGCUCCUCAGGAACUACCAGGUUGUUCGUUGUGUCCUCGAUCCUGACAGGGAAGGAGGUUAGGUCAAACCAGCAGCGCCAGGUGGAGGUCUGGCUGUUGGACUCCUCCAUAGGCUGCUCCUCAGAAAUGUCCUCAUUGUUGUUCUUCUCCUCGAUCCUGACAGGGCAGGAGGUUAGGCCUAACCAGCAGCGCCAGGUGGAGGUCUGGCUGUUGGUCUCCUCCAUAGACUGACCAAAGGAAGGGACUCGUUGUUGUUGUUCUCCUCAGUCCUGACAGGGCAGGACGUUAGGCCUAGCCAGCAGCGCCAGGUGGAGGUCUGGCUGUUGGUCUCCUCCACAGGCUGCACCUCAGGAAGGCCUGGUUGUCCUUCCUGUCCUCGAUCCUGACGGGGCAGGAGUUUAGGCCAAACUAGCAGAGGCUGGUGGAGGUCUGGCUGUUGGUCUCCUCCACAGGCUGCUCCUCAGAAAGGACCUGGUUGUCCUUCCUGUC